rnacentral:lncRNA from 1 species
GACCGAGGUUUUUCAAUUCAUAAAUCUCAAAUUGGGGUGUUCUAGAUAGGAAAGAAGAUAGAUAGAACUAGACCUUGUAGAUCUAUCCUGCUGUAGCCUUUCCUGUAGAUCUGUUGAUGGAGAUCUCACCCGUGCCUCAAACGACCUCAGAUCAACUCCAGAUCUGAGAGGAACUUGUACCAACCUCGUAGCAAGAGAUUUCCAAUCUUGGACCUAAUGUUUGGGUGGC